GAAGGGACCUAGCGUAGUUCGGAAUUACUGGGCUUAAAGAGUUCGUAGGUGGUUAAAAAAGUUGGUGGUGAAAUCCCAGAGCUUAACUCUGGAACUGCCAUCAAAACUUUUUAGCUAGAGUAUGAUAGAGGAAAGUAGAAUUUCUAGUGUAGAGGUGAAAUUCGUAGAUAUUAGAAAGAAUACCAAUUGCGAAGGCAGCUUUCUGGAUCAUUACUGACACUGAGGAACGAAAGCAUGGGUAGCGAAGAGGAUUAGAUACCCUCGUAGUCCAUGCCGUAAACGAUGUGUGCUAGACGUUGGAAAUUUAUUUUCAGUGUCGCAGCGAAAGCGUUAAGCACACCGCCUGGGGAGUACGACCGCAAGGUUAAAACUCAAAUGAAUUGACGGGGACCCGCACAAGCAGUGGAGCAUGUGGUUUAAUUCGAAGAUACGCGCAGAACCUUACCAACACUUGACAUGUUCGUCGCGACUUUAAGAAAUUAAAGUUUUCGGUUCGGCCGGACGAAACACAGGUGCUGCAUGGCUGUCGUCAGCUCGUGUCGUGAGAUGUUGGGUUAAGUCCCGCAACGAGCGCAACCCUUACUUUUAGUUGCCACCAUUUAGUUGAGCACUCUGAAAGAACUGCCAGUGAUAAGCUGGAGGAAGGUGGGGAUGACGUCAAGUCCUCAUGGCCCUUACGUGUUGGGCUACACACGUGCUACAAUGGCACUUACAAUAGAAGCAAAGAGGCGACUCCCAAGCAAAUCCUAAAAAAGUGCCUCAGUUCGGAUUGUACUCUGCAACUCGAGUACAUGAAGCUGGAAUUGCUAGUAAUCGCGGAUCAGCGCGCCGCGGUGAAUACGUUCCCGGGGUCUU
rnacentral:rRNA from 1 species